CUUUCGAUGGUAGGAUAGAGGUCUACCAUGGUGGUAACGGGUAACGGGGUGUUAGGGCGCGACACCGGAGAGGGAGCCUGAGAAACGGCUACCACAUCCAAGGAUGGCAGCAGGCGCGCAAAUUACCCAAUCCCAACACGGGGAGGUAGUGACAAUAAAUAACAAUACGGGGUUCUUUCGGAUCUCGUAAUCGGAAUGAGUACAAUUUAAAUCUCUUAACGAGGAACAAUUGGAGGGCAAGUCUGGUGCCAGCAGCCGCGGUAAUUCCAGCUCCAAUAGCGUAUAUUAAAGUUGUUGCAGUUAAAAAGCUCGUAGUUGAAUUUCGAGAUCAAUUUACUGGUCGUGCUUAUGGUACGUACUGGUUUGUUGAUUUCUCAUUUCUGAGGAUCCACCACGAUGUCAUUAAUUUGGUGUCGCGGGGAAUCAGGACUGUUACUUUGAAAAAAUUAGAGUGUUUAAAGCAGGCUAACGCUUGAAUAUAUUAGCAUGGAAUAAUAAAAUAGGACGAUUGAUCCUAUUUUGUUGGUUUCUAGGAUCGACGUAAUGAUUAAUAGGGAUAGUUGGGGGCAUUAGUAUUCAAUUGUCAGAGGUGAAAUUCUUGGAUUUAUUGAAGACUAACUACUGCGAAAGCAUUUGCCAAGGAUGUUUUCAUUAAUCAAGAACGAAAGUUAGGGGAUCGAAGACGAUCAGAUACCGUCGUAGUCUUAACCAUAAACUAUGCCGACUAGGGAUCGGAUGAUGUUAUUUUUGAUGACUCAUUCGGCGCCUUACGGGAAACCAAAGUGUUUGGGUUC
rnacentral:rRNA from 1 species